AGCUCAGUUGGUAGAGCAUCUGACUUUUAAUCAGAGGGUCGAAGGUUUAGAGCAACGGACUGAAAAUCCGUGUGUCGGCGGUUCGAUUCCGUCCCGAGCCA
rnacentral:tRNA from 1 species